CUUCGGUUCAGUUCUUUAUGCCCUGAAACAUGCGGACAAAAUAUCAAGAGGAGAUACCAUUUACUUCAGCCCUAAGGUCACAUAUCAGUAUCUAGACCAGUGGGCAUCAUUCAGGGACAAUCAGCCAGGGUGGAUCCAGAAUGGCGAGGACGGGCCCAUGCUGGAAGAGGCAGUGUCCAGGGUUCGAGCCAGGAGGAAACUGGCCAACACAUUGAUGAACAGGCUGAAGAUAGACAGGGCUCAGUUAAUAGCUGACAAGCGUGGUGUCAGCAUCUGGUCUGACCAUGAGUUUGAGGACGGGAACAUCAGGUUUUGUACGGAGAGCGCAAAUGAGUAUGUGGUAAAUCUGAC